rnacentral:rRNA from 1 species
AACGAACGCUGGCGGCAUGCCUAACACAUGCAAGUCGAACGAGACCUUCGGGUCUAGUGGCGCACGGGUGCGUAACGCGUGGGAAUCUGCCCUCUGGUUCGGAAUAACUCAGGGAAACUUGAGCUAAUACCGGAUAAUGACUUCGUACCAAAGAUUUAUCGCCAGAGGAUGAGCCCGCGUCAGAUUAGCUAGUUGGUGAGGUAAAAGCUCACCAAGGCGACGAUCCGUAGCUGGUCUGAGAGGAUGAUCAGCCACACUGGGACUGAGACACGGCCCAGACUCCUACGGGAGGCAGCAGUGGGGAAUAUUGGACAAUGGGCGAAAGCCUGAUCCAGCAAUGCCGCGUGAGUGAUGAAGGCCUUAGGGUUGUAAAGCUCUUUUACCCGGGAUGAUAAUGACAGUACCGGGAGAAUAAGCCCCGGCUAACUCCGUGCCAGCCGCCGCGGUAAAAC